rnacentral:lncRNA from 1 species
GAUAACUAAUGCUAGCUGUCUCCAGGCUGGCAAAGGUUAUUUGAAUGGACUUAAUCUUCCAGUAGUUGGGAGAUGUUUUAAAAACACAUCCUGUGUUUCAAUUGUGGCUGAGAGGUUUCCUUGGCAAUGUGAGGAAGAAAAUUCUUUCUGCCUCAUUAUUAUUAAUUCAUGGAUUGAGUGUUGGUUCGACCUACAGGCGUAAUAGAUUGGAACUCAGUGAAGACACAGACGUUCCUGUUGAGAGCAACCAGCUAAUGUAAGUGGGGGAAAUGGGUCUUUUCUCAUUAAAGGAGUAAAAACUUUUGUAAUUUAAGGCAAAAUUUUCCUGGACUAGUAAGAAAUUAAAAGGCUAAUGUCCAGUCAUUUUUUUUCUUGUAAUUAUUCACAAACUUUUAGUUUUUGAAUAGAAACGUGUUUGUUCUUUCUUUUGUUUUGUUUUUGAUAGUGCACAUUGUGAAAAGGUAAAAACAAUACAGCUAAGGUGAAAUCCUCCCCUAAUUCCGUUUCCUUGAAGGAAAACAUUUAAUAGUUUAUCACAACAUGGUUCCUUGCCCAUACACAUUACUCUGCCUCAUCUUUUUAAUGACUAUGUAGUGUUCCAUUGUCCAUUGUAACUCAGUGUAUCCCUCAUUGGUAAACAUUUGGGGUUUUACAAACAAAAAUAUCCCUGUGUCUAAUAGUAGCCUUAUGCACCCAUCUGCAUGAACUUGUUUCCCUAGAACAAGUUCUUAGAUGCAAAUUUAUGGAAUUAUUAUAUUUUAUAUAAUAAUUAUAAUAAUUUGUAUAUAAUUUUUAUAAGAGGUUGUAGAAGUUUACUGAACAAUUAAGGAGGUCUUAAUUUGCAAAAGUUGUAGAUGUGUAUCUUUUAUAAAGAUAGUAAUCUUUGGUCAUAUUGCUGAUAGAUCUUUUGCUAUAUAAAUGUUUUCCAGUUUUAUCGAUAUUAUUGUUAUAGUUUUUAUCAUUGGUACCUUAGGAAAGGGUUUUUGUUUUUUUUCCACUCUGAGCUUAAAAAAAUUUUUUUUUCUGAGUGUCUAGGUGAAUAUGUAUUUUAUUUUAAAAAUGCUGAGGAUUGUAGUUAUAUGACAUUGCCACUGUUACAAAGUUCUUUUUUUUUUCCAAAUAGCUGGCCAUGUUUCUUGUUAAUCUCAAAUGCCGCUUAUUUUUAUAAAUCACAUUAUAAUUUAGGGGUGCUCUUGAAUUCUAUUGAACUGUAUUUCAUUUGCCAACAUUACAUGUAAAUAUUGUUGUAUUUUCCAUUUGUAAUAUCAGGCAGAGGGAGGCGCUUCCAUUUCUUUUUAAAGUAUCUUUUUUUCCCCUCACUUAUACUUCUAGGUGAUUUUAUAAUCUGUCAAUUCCAAUAAUAAAGUCUCAUUGGGAUUUGGCAUGAAUUACAUUCAAUGUAUGCAUUUUGAAGUUACUUCUUAAAUUUAUCCGUUAUCCAGAUCAUCUGUGCCUUAGUCAUUUCAUAGUUUCUGGGGUUUGUUUUUGAUUCCAUGUGACUUUUGCAUACUCUUCAUUUUUUUUCUACAUAUUUUAUGGUUUUAUUGUGAAUGACGACGCUCGUGUCUGAAUGAUUGUUGCUGACAUUAAUCAGAUUUACUGCUUUUUGUAUAUUUAUAUUAUUAUUUUUAUUGUUUUUAAAUUAUUAAAUUUACUAGUUUGCAAACAUAUAAUUUGCAGAUUUUUUUAUUAUGAUGAUUUUUGGUCUCAUCCUUCCUUGUAUUUUUUCUUUACUGUACAUACUAGAACCUCUGGAACAGGUUUUUUGGUUUUGCUUUGUUUUGUUUGUGGGGGGUAGGUUGGGGGGGUAAUGGGGACUGACUGACCCCAGGGUUGCUACAUCCCUAGCCCUUUUAUUUUUAUUUUGAGACAGGGUCUCGCUAAGUUGCCCAGGCUGGCUUCAAACUUGUGAUCCUUCUGCCUC